rnacentral:lncRNA from 1 species
AGACAGCUGGGACCCACGGGAUUUGAGGUGCGCGCUGGGAUCUUAGUGCGCAGAGGCCGGACCGCAGAGUAGAAGAAACGUUUGAAUGGGAAUGGGAGAGGAGAGCAGAAAUGGGAAGGAAAAAGAAGAUUCCAGAGCAGUAACGUAAUUAAACAUUCUCAAUCCACAAAUGACUGCAAAGCAGAUAACCAGAGUCCUGAUGAUUAACUGCCGUCAGUGGAACUGCCUGUUUUUCCUCAAGUGGAUCUUU